GAACAGUUCAGUCUCGGAACCAUGAAUCCUUGCAAGGUCAGAAAAUGCUGGAAAAGACCGUCCACCGGUCCACCCGGUGCAGAGGAGCGCAGGAGGCACAGGAGCGCAGGACGGCCGCGGCGGGCUCGCGCCCAGGCCCGCAAAGGUGAGGCUCUUCCACCACCUGGUGGACGCCCGGGGAUGGCAGGUGCGCCGCGGGCCGUCGCUGCCCCGAGGCCGGCUCGGGAGCCUCCUCUACCGGCCGCCGCAGGCUCGCUCCGCGGGCCCAACCGUCUCGGGGCUGCAGAGGGGCUGGGGUCCCCUCGGUUCUCUCUUCCUGACCCCAGCCCUCUCAAAAGCCGUCAACCGACUGUGCGCCGCCUCCAGUCUCCACCUCUGACAAGGCGGGACAUCUCAUCCACAGGCAAGAAGACAUGCCACCCUGCCAUCAGGCCCUGGAGGGUUCUAAUCUUGGAAGGUUCUAACUUUGGAAGGUUAAAAAUGGUCAAAGGAAUCUUUUUAAAGUCCUUUCUUUCUCCACAAUGCCUAGAUUUCAAGCCUUUUCUCUUGCUGUAAAAUCCAAUUUUGAACGCCAGAAAUGAGCCAUUAGCUUUUGUUCUCUUAGGGUCCCUCCCUCCCCUCCCCCACUCCCAGACUGAUGGGAGCUAGAGAAGCAGCUGCCCAGCUGCUCUCCACACCCACUCCCUCCUCCUCCCUGCAGGGACCACCCAUCCUGGCCUCCCUUGCUUGCCGGGUGUGUGGAGUCCCGAGUCCCCAGACAGUGGCCUGUGAGCAAGCAGACUGUGGGCCUCUGCAAGCCUGUCUCAGGCAGAGCUGACGUAGAAGGAGCCUGGGUCCCUGAGUGACUGCGUGGAGGCCCCCACUCCACCCAGCAGGAGCACCCCUUUGGACCUCCCAGGAGUCCCAGCUAAGCAUCUAUGGUGCGAAGCCCCUGAGAUGUUGAGGGUUUUCAGUGAGGGCUGUGAGCUUUCUGCUAAGGAGCACGUCAUUUGGGUAUAAAAGCAAAAUAGAAAAACACAUUGGUAUUUUCCCAAACUGUGUCUCCUAUUUAGAGGAAAAAAUAAGAUAGAACCAGAUAUCUGAUGGCUCAUUCUCCUCUGCCUUGGCUGGAGACUGCUGAGACUCCUCCAGGCCUCAGGGGGACUCUCUCCCCUCCAUCUCUCCUGCUCAUGGCACCAUCCACAGCUUGGCUGCAAUUUGACCCCGUGGGCAGCUGAUGUUCCAUGGAUCAUCUCUGAGCUCCAGACCCCUACCUCUAGUGGCCUGGAUGCCUCCUUCUGUCCCAAAACCAACCUGCAACUCUCACCCCAUAGGCCAGCCUGCUGUUUUCCCAGUGAGUCAACAUUCCUUCAUCUGGGUGUUGAGCUGAAAACUUCUUGGCACCUCCCUCCCCCCUUCCCACACCUCCUACCCUCCAUCUAUCAAGUCCUCUUGCUUUUACCUCCUAGAUGCCUAACCAAUCUGCAUCUCGGUCCCUCCACCAUCACUCCCAUCUUCUCCCACCUAGACCAUUCUAUAAGCUCCUACCUGGGGCACCCACUGGUCUCCUGGUCCC
rnacentral:lncRNA from 12 species